rnacentral:rRNA from 1 species
GUAGUCUGCAACCCGACUACAUGAAGCUGGAAUCGCUAGUAAUCGCGGAUCAGAAUGCCGCGGUGAAUACGUUCCCGGGUCUUGUACACACCGCCCGUCACACCAUGGGAGUCGGAAAUGCCCGAAGUCAGUGACCCAACCGUAAGGAGGGAGCUGCCGAAGGUGGAGCCGGUAACUGGGGUGAAGUCGUAACAAGGUAAC